CGGGUUUACUCCUGGAUGUUACCGGUUCAUCCGGUCGAAACCGGACGGGUUUUGGUGUCUGAUUCGGUACGAAUCGGGAGCACCUCUGCGUAGGCUUGAAGAAGCGAACUUCAACGGUUUAAGACUUGCGUCGCCUACGGUCUUGGAUAGCCCCCGCCAGGCAGGGACCCCAAUAAGUACCGCUCCGACUUGCGGAGCG
rfam:Pseudomonas sp. 20_BN genome assembly, contig: CONTIG000001